rnacentral:rRNA from 1 species
AUACGGAGGGUCCGAGCGUUAUCCGGAAUCAUUGGGUUUAAAGGGUCCGUAGGCGGGAAUCUAAGUCAGUGGUGAAAUCUUGCAGCUCAACUGUAAAAUUGCCAUUGAUACUGGAUUUCUUGAAUUAGUGUGAAGUGGUUAGAAUGUGUAGUGUAGCGGUGAAAUGCAUAGAUAUUUCACAGAAUACCAAUUGCGAAGGCAGAUCACUAACACUAUAUUGACGCUAAGGGACGAAAGCGUGGGGAGCGAACAGGAUUAGAAACCCGAGUAGUCC